rnacentral:rRNA from 1 species
GAUGAACGCUGGCGGCAUGCCAAGACAUGCAAGUCGAACGAAGUGGCGCAAGGGUGAGUAACACGUGGGUAAUCUACCUUCGAGUCUGGAAUAACAGUUAGAAAUGAUUGCUAAUACCGGAUGCUUGAAGAUGAGCCUGCGUCGUAUUAGCUAGUUGGUGGGGUAAUGGCCUACCAAGGCAACGAUGCGUAGCCGACCUGAGAGGGUGAUCGGCCACACUGGGACUGAGACACGGCCCAGACUCUACGGGAGACAGCAGUUAGGAAUAUUCGUCAAUGGGGGAAACCCUGAACGAGCAAUGCCGCGUGAAGGAUGACGGUCCUAUGAUUGUAACUUCUGUUGUUAGGGAAGCGGUACCUUUCAAGAAAGCUCCGGCUAACUACGUGCCAGCAGCCGCGGUAAUACGUAGGGAGCGAGCGUUAUCCGGAUUUAUUGGGUGUAAAGGGUGCGUAGGCGGCUUUACAGGUCUGUGGUUUAAUCCCGAAGCCUAACUUCGGUUCGCCAUAGAAACCGUAUCGCUUGAGCAUGGUAGAGGCAAGUGGAAUUUCUAGUGUAGCGGUUAAAUGCGUAGAUAUUAGAAGGAACACCAGUGGCGAAGGCGACUUGCUGGGCCAUUGCUGACGCUGAGGCACGAAAGCGUGGGGAGCAAAUAGGAUUAGAUACCCUAGUAGUCCACGCCGUAAACGUUGGAUACUAAGUGUCGGCGGUGCUGAAGUUAACACAUUAAGUAUCCCACCUGAGUAGUACGGUCGCAAGGUGCAACUCAAAUGAAUUGACGGA